rnacentral:tRNA from 1 species
ACUUAAAUAGCUUAUAACAUAGAGCAUAAUAUUGAAGAUAUUAAGGAAAUUUUAAAUUUUUAAGUA